UACGGAAGGGGCAAGCGUUGUUCGGAAUCAUUGGGCGUAAAGGGCGCGUAGGUGGUUCUGUAUGUCUACCGUGAAAGCGUACGGCUCAACUGUAUUUUGUCGGUAGAAACUGCAGGACUUGAGGCUGGGAGGGGCUGGUGGAAUUCCCUGUGUAGCGGUGAAAUGCGUAGAGAUGGGGGGAGAACACUCGUGGCGAAGGCGGCCAGCUAGACCAGUUCUGACACUGAGGCGCGACAGCGUGGGGGAGCAAACAGG
rnacentral:rRNA from 1 species